rnacentral:lncRNA from 1 species
UUAAAGCUGAGAAGCUGAUGGAAGUACACUUGGGUUUCUGGGUAAACACCCUUUAUCCCCCACCUUUUCUAGGCUCUGCGUUCCCAUUGAACUGGAAGAUUUUAUGCAUUUCAAGAUAGUUUAAAAAUAUUUACCAUUUCAUUUAACUAUAAAACCAAUUUUGGGGCAGGGCCAUUAUUUCCAUUUUAUAGGUAAGAAAACUGAAGCCCAUCCAGAGAUGGGAAAUAAAUGUGCAGAAAGUUUAUUGUAGUGUGUUUCCGGGAGCAGCAUCUGCUGGGGAAGAGAAGGAAGUAGAGUUGGACAGAGGAAGAAGCUGAGCAGCAAUGUAGGCGAUGCCGAGCCCUGAAGCUGGAUGGCUUUGCAGAGUGGUACUGACUUAGGAUGAGGGGGAAGAGGCCUUUAGAGCACCAUACUGACCACUCAUUGGAUCUGGGGCUUGACCUUGGGAAAAAGAAGGUAGACUUGGUGUCCUGUGAUAGAAGAAAAAGCAGAAUUAUGAAAUGCAUACGGCUCUGUAGCCCACAAAGGAACUACAGGGGAUAGCGACCCAGCCUGUUCAUCUUAAGCGGGGUGGUGGGAGA